GACGAACGCUGGCGGCGUGCUUAACACAUGCAAGUCGAACGGAAAGGCCCUGCUUUUGUGGGGUGCUCGAGUGGCGAACGGGUGAGUAACACGUGAGUAACCUGCCCUUGACUUUGGGAUAACUUCAGGAAACUGGGGCUAAUACCGGAUAGGAGCUCCUGCUGCAUGGUGGGGGUUGGAAAGUUUCGGCGGUUGGGGAUGGACUCGCGGCUUAUCAGCUUGUUGGUGGGGUAGUGGCUUACCAAGGCUUUGACGGGUAGCCGGCCUGAGAGGGUGACCGGGGGAAGUGGGACUGAGGCAAGGACGGGAGGGCGACGGGCGGCCGAAGGGGGGGAGAGUGAGGACUGGGGGGGAUCCGGACGCGGAGACGGCGGGUGGGGGAGGGUGGCCUUCGGGAGGGAGACAGCUUUCACCGGGGACCAAGGGACAGUGACGGGAGUUGAUGAUGAAGCACCCGCCAACCUCGUG
rnacentral:rRNA from 1 species